GCCGGAGCGGCGGGAGCGGCCCCGGGCCCGGGCGGAGGUGGGAGCGGAGCGGAGCGGAGCGGGGAUCCAUCUCCUCGGUCUGCGGCCGCGCUGUACUGCUCCCAUGCUCUGAUACAGCCCCGCCAGCCGCCCCCCUAUGGUCCUGC
rnacentral:pre_miRNA from 1 species